rnacentral:rRNA from 1 species
UGGGGAAUUUUGGACAAUGGGCGAAAGCCUGAUCCAGCCAUGCCGCGUGAGUGAAGAAGGCCUUCGGGUUGUAAAGCUCUUUUAGUCGGAAAGAAAGAGUUGCAAUGAAUAAUUGUGAUUUAUGACGGUACCGACAGAAAAAGCACCGGCUAACUACGUGCCAGCAGCCGCGGUAAUACGUAGGGUGCGAGAGUUAAUCGGAAUUACUGGGCGUAAAGGGUGCGCAGGCGGUCUUGCAAGUCAGAUGUGAAAGCCCCGGGCUUAACCUGGGAAUUGCGUUUGAAACUACAAGGCUAGAGUGCAGCAGAGGGGAGUGGAAUUCCAUGUGUAGCAGUGAAAUGCGUAGAGAUGUGGAAGAACACCGAUGGCGAAGGCAGCUCCCUGGGUUGACACUGACGCUCAUGCACGAAAGCGUGGGGAGCAAACA